GUCGAACGCUGGCGGCGUGCUUAACACAUGCAAGUCGAACAGUGGCGAACGGGUGAGUAACACGUGAGUAACCUGCUCUCCCCUUUGGGAUAACUCCGAGAAAUCGGGGCUAAUACUGGAUAGUGGGGGAUGGGCUCGCGGCCUAUCAGUUUGUGGGUGAGGUAGUGGUCACCAAGGCGUGACGGGUAGCCGGCCUGGGAGGGCGAACGCCCACACUGGGACUGCGCGACAGACCAGACGCCUAUGGGGGGCAGCAGUGGGGAAUAUUGCACAAUGGGCGAAAGCCUGAUAAGGCGCCGCCGCGUGGGAGAUGACGGCCUGCGGGUUGUAAACCUCUUUCGGCAAGGAAGCGGUACUUGCAGAAGAAGCGCCGGCUAACUACGUGCCAGCAGCCGCGGUAAUAC
rnacentral:rRNA from 1 species